ACACACUGUUGCCAUGUCAACGUUACUGAAAGGGCGCAUUGUAUGUUGGUGUUGAGUUAUGACGUCUGUGACAUCACGGUGUCUCUCAAGAAGUGUAAAUGAAAGGGCGUUGAGUAGUCCCCUCAAAUGGAAGCAUGAAGCUUUGGCUGUAGUGAAGGUGAAGGAGAUAAAAACUCACUCUCAGAUCAUCAACUGUUGUCAGUUCUGUUGCCAAGAUGAGAAAUUUCUGACAGGUUCAGACAAUACAACACUGAGCAUUUGGGAUUGUUAUACUGGCCGGCAGCUACAGUCUUUCCACGGUCACACACACAUCGUGUCUGGAUGUUCCUAUCAUGAUUCACUAAACAGGAUUGCCUCUGUGUCGUGGGACACAACACUUCGAUUCUGGGAUCCCGAGACAGCAACAGAACUGUGGAGUGUGUCUCAUGAUGGACUGAUGACAACGUGUCAUGUCUCUCUUGAUGGGCGGCUGGCUUUGGCUGCGGGAGAUGAUAAUAUCAUAACAAUGUGGGACGUAAGCAGUAGAAAGAGACUUUAUCAGUUGAAAGGUCACAAGAGUACCGUAAUGAGCUGCCAGUUUAGUCCCACUAUCAACAGCUUCUCCUCUUCUUCGAUCGACAAAACAAGCCGACUGUGGGACAUGCGAUUAAUGAAGACAUUGCUAACUCUCAGAGGACACACGAAUGCCGUCACGUCAGGCUGUUUCUCUUCCGAUGGUCGACUGUUGAGUACGGCUUCGUGGGACAAGCAAGUGUUGCUGUGGGACAUUGCGACGGGAUCAUAUAGGUCAGCCGGGCCAGUGGCAUUGCAGAAUCAUGAGGGUAAUGUCAGUUCGUGUGAAAUCUCACACAAUGGAACGACACUCAUCUCCUCAUCAUAUGACCAUUCAGUCAUAGUAUGGAACGUCGAUGUCCACUGUCCCAAACUGAAACUACAGGUAAACUAAACCCACUACAUCAGCGCCUUACAGCUCUGGGAGUAAGUAAAUAAGACCUAAAGCUGUUACCCUAUUUGGUAAGGCUUAAUUGAGAUCACAGCCCAAGUGACCCCAUGGCCACACUCCAUACUGAUGAGUGAUGGUAGGUGUAAUAUAUUAGCACUUUAUUAAGUGUGACCACACCUCCACAGGUCACAGUUGAACAUAGCAAGACUCUCACAUAAAAAACACUAUGGAUCUGUGUUACUGCAGGGUCAUACAGAUUGGGUGCUUGAUUGUGGAAUUUCCAAAGAUGGAAACUGGGUGUUAUCCAGCUCCAAGGAUAAGACUGUUCGGCUGUGGAAUAUUGAGGGAUGUGAAAAUCUUCAGUUUGCUGUUGACAACAUGUCUCAGAAUCUCGGG